GACGAACGCUGGCGGCGUGCUUAACACAUGCCAGUCGAACGGUGAAGCGACUUCCUUUUUGGUGGGUGUGGAUGAGUGGCGAACGGGUGAGUAACACGUGAGUAACCUGCCCCCUUCUUCUGGAUAACCGCAUGAAAGUGUGGCUAAUACGGGAUAUUCUGGGUCUGUCGCAUGAUGGGUCUGGGAAAGAUAUUGUUUCGGUGGGGGAUGGGCUCGCGGCCUAUCAGCUUGUUGGUGGGGUGAUGGCCUACCAAGGCGGUGACGGGUAGCCGGCCUGAGAGGGUGGACGGUCACACUGGGACUGAGACACGGCCCAGACUCCUACGGGAGGCAGCAGUGGGGAAUAUUGCACAAUGGGCGCAAGCCUGAUGCAGCGACGCCGCGUGAGGGAUGGAGGCCUUCGGGUUGUGAACCUCUUUCGCCAGUGAAGCAGGCCUGCCUCGUUUGUGGGUGGGUUGACGGUAGCUGGAUAAGAAGCGCCGGCUAACUACGUG
rnacentral:rRNA from 1 species